rnacentral:rRNA from 1 species
GGCCUUGACAUACUAAGAACUUUCCAGAGAUGGAUUGGUGCCUUCGGGAACUUAGAUACAGGUGCUGCAUGGCUGUCGUCAGCUCGUGUCGUGAGAUGUUGGUUAAGUCCCGNAACGAGCGCAACCCUUUUCCUUAUUUGCCAGCGGGUCAUGCCGGGAACUUUAAGGAUACUGCCAGUGACAAACUGGAGGAAGGCGGGGACGACGUCAAGUCAUCAUGGCCCUUACGGCCAGGGCUACACACGUGCUACAAUGGUCGGUACAAAGGGUUGCUACCUCGCGAGAGGAUGCUAAUCUCAAAAAGCCGAUCGUAGUCCGGAUCGCAGUCUGCAACUCGACUGCGUGAAGUCGGAAUCGCUAGUAAUCGCGGAUCAGAAUGCCGCGGUGAAUACGUUCCCGGGCCUUGUACACACCGCCCGUCACACCAUGGGAGUUUGUUGCACCAGAAGUAGGUAGUCUAACCGCAAGGAGGACGCUUACCACGGUGUGGCCGAUGACUGGGGUGAAGUCGUAACAAGGUAGGCGUAGAUGA